UACGUAGGGUGCGAGCGUUAAUCGGAAUUACUGGGCGUAAAGCGUGCGCAGGCGGUUCGUUGUGUCGGCGGUGAAAGCCCCGGGCUUAACCUGGGAAUGGCCGUUGAAACUGGCGAGCUGGAGUGUGGCAGAGGGGGGUGGAAUUCCGCGUGUAGCAGUGAAAUGCGUAGAGAUGCGGAGGAACACCGAUGGCGAAGGCAGCCCCCUGGGCUGACACUGACGCUCAGGCACGAAAGCGUGGGUAGCAAACAGG
rnacentral:rRNA from 1 species